rnacentral:rRNA from 1 species
UUGCGGACAGUGUCUGGUGGGUAGUUUGACUGGGGCGGUCUCCUCCUAAAGAGUAACGGAGGAGCACGAAGGUUGGCUAAUCCUGGUCGGACAUCAGGAGGUUAGUGCAAUGGCAUAAGCCAGCUUGACUGCGAGCGUGACGGCGCGAGCAGGUGCGAAAGCAGGUCAUAGUGAUCCGGUGGUUCUGAAUGGAAGGGCCAUCGCUCAACGGAUAAAAGGUACUCCGGGGAUAACAGGCUGAUACCGCCCAAGAGUUCAUAUCGACGGCGGUGUUUGGCACCUCGAUGUCGGCUCAUCACAUCCUGGGGCUGAAGUAGGUCCCAAGGGUAUGGCUGUUCGCCAUUUAAAGUGGUACGCGAGCUGGGUUUAGAACGUCGUGAGACAGUUCGGUCCCUAUCUGCCGUGGGCGCUGGAGAACUGAGGGGGGCUGCUCCUAGUACGAGAGGACCGGAGUGGACGCAUCACUGGUGUUCGGGUUGUCAUGCCAAUGGCACUGCCCGGUAGCUAAAUGCGGAAGAGA